GUUUGUUUGUUUGUUUUGUUUGUUGUAGGUGAGCUUUCCUGCUGCAUAGGCUUUCAUCUCGCUCCAGGCAGUUGGCGAUGGAGCCCCAGCGACGUUGCUGUUGUUGGUCCUUAUGAUUAUUUUUUUUCAAAAAGAAGUUUGGUUGAGUUUUCAGCUUGCAUGGAUCAUCAUCAGCAGCUACUGAUACUGUUCUUGCUGUUGUCAUGAUUCUUGUGACCAUCUCACGAUGCCGGACGCUGUCAUUUAACUGAGAGAGUUUUGGGUGUUUCCGUUUCCUUUGGAACAGUUUACAUGAAAAUUUUGCUGAGGGAAGUUGUGGGUGACAAUCGUGUGGAGGCGGGGCAAGAGUUUGCGGUCAUUGCUGAAGAUUCUUUCUCUGGAGCUGCUGUGUGCGGGCUGUUUUUUGAGUUUUUGAAUUCUAUUUUCUUUAUUUUGUUUGUUCUUUUGUUUUUUCUGCGGUGGUACUGGGCAAUUGGCUGGUUGGUAUGAAAGUGUGGACGAAGGAGAGGGCGUUGAGUUUAAGGCAGUGGAGUUGCGGUGAUCGAUGUAGUGAGCAUCGAUGAGAUGAAUGUUUCGGAUUGUCUCAAAAUUUGCUUCUGGCGGUGGAAGUACUGAAAUUACUUGGACACGAAGGACAGUGUUUUUACAAGCAGAUAUGAAGCGGAAAGCGACCGCGAGUCCACGAUGGAGGUGGAAGUUUGGGGGGUUCCUCUUGAUGGGGACUCUCUUGACUUUAUUCAUGUUGGUUCACCUCCAAACAUUGUUCGGACCCGAUGCAUCUGACGGUGCUAACACGGUUCCAGUUGUAACCAGUUUUGAAGGUCAGCAGUUCAGCCUGAACAGGACGAAAUCGAAGCUAGCGUUCAUGUUUCUUACAGGUCACAACAUGGCUCUGGACAUCUUGUGGAAUCAAUUUUUUGAGGAAGUCGAAGAACAUGAAUAUAGUGUUUACAUUCAUGCAAGGCCUGGCUACUCGUUCUCAAAAGGGAAUACAAUCUGCCGCUCGUUCAUCAAUCGUCAGCUGAAUAACUCUAUACUAGUAGAGUGGGGAGAGGCGACCAUGAUUCGAGCUGAACGACUGCUAUUAACUGAAGCACUUCAAGACCCCUUGAACCAGAGGUUCUUCCUUCUUUCUGAUAGUUGCAUCCCGCUCUAUAAUUUCACACACAUCUACAAUUAUGUGAUGUCCUCUCAGAAGAGCUUCGUUGACAGUUUUGUUGACAAGAACGAUGAUCAGUAUAAUAUCCUUAUGGAGCCCGUUAUUUCUGAAGAUAAAUGGCGCAAAGGAUCUCAGUGGGUUGCCCUUACAAGGAAGCAUGCUGAGGUCAUUGCAGGAGAUUCAACGGUUUUCCCCAGUUUUGUCGAUCACUGCAAGAAGAUAAAUCUGUCAGAUAAUUGGAAGGGUGAUCCUAUGAAUAAUGAAACCAUUGGUCGUCAUAACUGUAUACCAGAUGAGCAUUACAUUCAGACACUGUUGGCGGUAGACCCCAUCUAUGCCUUACGACAUUGCCUUCGGCGCACUCAUCCUUAACCUUUUACCCAGAAAAUGUUUUCGUAUCCAGAGACUCUGAUAGCUGAAACUGGAAUUGUAUUUUUGUGCUUAUCUGAAAAUGGAUGUAUAUUUAUUUGUGCAGAUCAAGGGUUUGGAAGGAGAGAUUGAGCGUCGAACUUUAACAUUCAGUCGGUGGGAGAACUCUGCAAAAGACCAAGGUCAAAAUGGCUGGCAUCCUGUAACGUUCAAAUUUGCCGAUGCAACCGUUCAGACCAUCAAAGAAAUUCAGGCAAUCACAAAUGUUCGUUACGAAAUUGAGUCACGAACUGAGUGGUGCAGCGCUGGGGGGCAUCGUCGGCACUGUUUUUUAUUCGCCAGGAAGUUCACACGGGCAGCUGCGUUCCGGCUUAUUGACCAAGUUGAUCAAUACAAAUCCAGCGACCCUGACCUUGCGGAAUAGCUGGUGGUUUGAAGUUCACUUUCACUCGGAGCUGGGUAAAAGUAUCCCAGCCGUGAAUGCAAAAGGGCUACAGCACUGCGCGGUUUGCAAAGCAUUUUGUGUUGGCAGAAGAUGCUUGAGCGUCUUGCCACCAGUUUCUCAACUUCCAAUUUUGAUUCCUUAGUGCCCAAAUCAUUGUUUGGUUAAACCACAUCAAUCGAAGAGUUUUGGACUCACAGCAGCUAUCUGAGCUGAACCACUGUAGCUAGACAAUUUUGACUAGUUUUGAAAGGGCGUAAACAGGUAAUUUGCCGGUAAAGUGUAGCUGCCACUUUCUCCACAUUUCACUUAACUUCACUUCAUGAGCCAAAGAGCACAACUUAGCUCAGUGGACACGUACAACCGUUGCUACUGCUUUCGUCAAAGCGGCUUGGUAGUUUGGAAGUAUACUUCUCAGGGGGUUGUAGAAGUGAGACUUGCUGAAGUUUCUUGAGUAAAUUUACUUGUUUACGUGCCA